UUUGUUACUUUACUUCUUCCCUGUGUGCCUGAACAAGAAUGCACCAUUUUUUUUUAUUUGUACAUAUUCACUGUUACAAAAAAAUAUUUCUACUCAUACACCUGAUGUUGCUUCACUAUAUUUUAAUCACAUACUUGCAGGAAAUACAGAUGGAAAUAGUCUGUGUAUUUACUGUUUACUUAAUGUUCGGAUUAAAAUCUGCAGUCAUUGACUCACACCUUCACACAAAUUUCAACACGUCCUUGUCCACCUUUAAAUCAUCAUUUGUCCAACAGAUGAAGGCUGCAUAACUGCAUACAAAAUAUUUCUGCCCAACCCGCAGACAAAGAUUUUAAUGUGCAGCAGCACUU